rnacentral:tRNA from 1 species
GCCAGUGUGGCACAGUGGUUUGAGUGCUGGACUUUGACUCUGGAGACCAGGGUUCAAUUCCUACUCAGUUA